CGAGAAAAAGAUAAUAAUUGCUUCACAAUCAAUCACACAUUUGCAAAUAUUUUGAUUUUAGAGUUUUAUUGUUUAAUUAAUUAUAAUUUUAUUAAUUCAAUAAAACAUACACUUCAGCCUGUACUAGCCAGCCUGUAUACUCACUGCUGGACAUACGCCUCUUUCCCCAUGUAGGAGAACAAUCAGAGCUUAAUCCACCACGCUGCUCCAAUGCGGAUUGGCGGAAUAAAAUAUAUAAACUUUUAAAUAGCAUAGUAAUCGUUUUUAAGGAGUAAACUCCAUUCGCAUGUGGGAGUUGACGCAUUUUUAAAAUUUUCAUAUUUCGUAUUAAAAAUUUGAGUAUGAAAAUUAAUGAAUAUUUCUUCUACUCUAUUUUGAAUAGUAUAUAUUACAUAAACAAACCUAAUUCAUUAAUAAUUCAAUUAUAAUAUAGAUAAUUCGUUUUCAAGAAGGGUAGAGAGAGAACUGUGCCACUGGUCUCUUGUGAGUGCUUCCACUUGUCUCGCCAACUUAAUUCCGACGGCAACUGAAUUAAAUAGUUUCCUAUGGAAACUGGGUUGCCGUAAACAACUUGCUUCGUAUUAUACUCGGUAGAUGGCAACUUGCUUCAUAUACGUGCUAAUAUCAGUUCCUCUCAUAAUGCUCUAUUUCAUAUUUUUCUCAUAUUGCAUAUUGAUUGAAUAUUUCAAAUAAGCCGAUUUGAGUUCCGAGUACUUGUAUCUAUUUCGAACAUAGCAAUAAUGUAUAUUGUUGUCUUGGAGGAUUAGUUUAGGAUUUGGUACACUUUACUAAUAUUAUUGUAAUUUUCAUUUUUUAAUUUAGUAAAAAACAUGUUUUUAAUUGAAGUCUUAUUUGGGGGUCAUUUGAGCUGUUUUUCCAUGAACGGAAUAAGGAAUCACACUUCUUACGCAGCUGAAUAAUAUUAUCAUCAAUCCAAGGUACUUUAGUUUUGUUAGGUUUUCUCUCAUAAUUUAUAUUUAAUGACACAUUUUUUUUCGCUUUUUGAAAGGACUUUUUUAUAAAGUUGUAAAUUUCAUUUUCACAUUUUAUCUGUUUAGUUUUACCCCAGUCAACCUUUGCGACUAGCUCCUUAACAAAAACAUUCUUGUAAGUUGAGGGAGGUCUAUAUACAGCGCUGCAACUACUGCUCUAGCCGGCGACCCCCCGUGGGAGCUCGUGGCGGAGGUCCUUGCCGAGACCUACUCAUACGUUUCCGGUAGGAGGGCUCUCGGUGAGAACCCCACGUUGGACGGGAUCCUACGGGUGCGCCGAAUGGGGCAAGAAGCGCUAAUGUAGCAUCCGUACGGCACACGCGUAACGGCUGCCUUGCACCCGGUUUUUGAGCGGUGGAUGCGCAAGCUCCACUCACCUUACGUCUGACGCAAAUUCUCACCGGGCACGGCUGCUUUGGUGAAUACUUGUGUCGGACGGUCCAGAGGGAGCUGACGACUAGAUGGUAUAAUAAAAAGCUGGACAAUAUUAUCUGUUAUACCAGAUUCUGUAAUUAUAAUAACAUCUAAUGGAAAUUUACAGUUAUGAAUGAGUAGUAACAAUUUAUCAAAAUUUUUAAUAAGUGCCUACUUGGAUGUUUCAUGUCUGUAUCUAAAUAUUAGUAUUUAGAUGCAGACAUGAAACAUCCAAGUAGGUUUUAGGAGGAAGCAGCUUAAAGAAGUCGUUUAAAGAACUACAAUUAAAUAAUUCUUUUAUCUGAUUACCCAUUAUUAAAAAUAAAAAUUAAUAAAUAAAAAAUAAAAUUAAAUUAAUAACAAAGACUUAAUUUAGAAUUUUUGUCUAGACAAUUAAAAUUCGAUUUUAUAAGUUCAUUAAUAUCAUGUAUUGAUCGUAUAUAAUAAAUUUUACUGUUACCUGACUUUCUAAUACAAACUUUACCAUUUUUGUACCAAAUGUAUUGGAAAUAUUUAUUCAAUUGACUUUUAGCAUUAAAAAGUAGAGUCUUCGUCUUUAAUAUUAAAAGUAGUGUCUUCUUAUGUUUAGUGAGGGCUUCUCGUAUGUAAACUCUUUGCAUCGCAUUUUCUUUAGAGACCUUCGGUAACAGUAAUCCUACAGUUGGACAUUUUUCUUUUCACUAUUUAUCCAUUGUUCUUGAGCUUCUUUCGAUUUCAUUUGUAAUAAAAUUAUCCUAGGUUUAAUUUUUGAACCUGGUAGGCGCUGAAUGGACCAAAUAACCUGUUUAUCCAAGUCCGACUUUGACACCAUUUUCCUUUAUUUAAUAUCUUUGAUAGGAAUUUCUGUUAAUCUAUUUAUUUCUAUGCUUGAUGCAGCGCGGCUUCACGUAGAUUCAAAUUUUUAUUUGCAUUUAGUAAAUCUUGGUUUUUGUUUUCUAAAUCUUUUAUAUUAGAGUCUUGGUUUUUGACAGUUUGUUCCAUUAAACUAAUUUGCUCGCUUAAAAAUUCUAGUGAUGUAUCCAAGCUGCGUAAUUCUUCUUAAAAUAUCUUUUUAAUUUCACUAUUGAUGUCUUGAGCUAAUUUAUUGGUGUCAAUAGUUUGUGGGCUUACGAUGAAUUCAGUUUCGGAUUCAUCGUCGUCACCUCCAUUUUCGGGUAUUAAGAAGGAUGAUCGCCGAGAUGUAUUUUUUAAGCAGUCGUCACAACACCAUUCGAUGCCAGCUACGGAUUGCAGUAAGUUGUUUGUUUGUAAGCUUUGAACAUAUAUUAUCCGCAUGAACCACUUUCGAACAUCGGCUACACUCCAUUGCCUUUUCCCCC
rnacentral:misc_RNA from 1 species